rnacentral:lncRNA from 1 species
GCAGCAGGCUUCAGAAAUCAUAAAUGGCGAGGAAGAAGCAGGCAAGAAGAAAAAGAAAAAGAAGAGCAAGGAUGAAAACAAGGAUGAUCAAGUUGCUGCUGAAGACGGUAAGAAGAAGAAGAAGAAAAAGUCGAAAAGUGAAGAUGCCGAAUGAAUUGUGGAACCACAGUAGUAAAACAUGAGGAGACAGAUGGUUAUUCAAUAGGUAGACAUGGUUUUGUUGCCAUAACAUUGUAGCUGUAGAAAUGCCCCGUUGUGGCUUUUUUGGUCUCCGAUCUCUAUAAUUUUUGUCCGUCCAACAGCAAAACUUGUGCCAAUAUGCUUAUGUUGCCGUGUUGUCUUAUAGUCUGAAUGACUUAACUCUAAUUUUG